UCCCUAGGUGAACCUGCGGAAGGAUCAUUACAGUAUUCUUUUGCCAGCGCUUAACUGCGCGGCGAAAAACCUUACACACAGUGUCUUUUUGAUACAGAACUCUUGCUUUGGUUUGGCCUAGAGAUAGGUUGGGCCAGAGGUUUAACAAAACACAAAUUAAAUAUUUUUACAGUUAGUCAAAAUUUGAAAUAAACUUCAAAACUUUCAACAACGGAUCUCUUGGUUCUCGCAUCGAUGAAGAACGCAGCGAAAAGCGAUAAGUAAAAUGAAAUGCAGAUUUUCGUGAAACAUCGAAACUUUGAACGCACAUUGCGCCCUCUGGUAUUCCAGAGGGCAUGCCUGUUUGAGCGUCAUUUCUCUCUCAAACCCCCCGGUUUGGUAUUGAGUGAUACUCUUAGUCGGACUAGGCGUUUGCUUGAAAAGUAUUGGCAUGAGUAGUACUGGAUAGUGCUGUCGACCUCUCAAAGUAUUAGGUUUAUCCAACUCGUUGAAAGGUGUGGCGGGAUAUUUCUGGUAUUGUUGGCCCCGCCUUACAACAACCAAACAAGUUUGACCUCAAAUCAGGUAGGAAAACCCCCUGAACUUAAGCAUAUCAAAAAGCGGAGGA
rnacentral:rRNA from 1 species